CUCUGAUCACGACUGAGCACAGGAGGGUCACAAUGAAGCUCACAGUCAUCUGUGUUUUCCUUGUCGCUGUUUUAAAAGGUGUCAGGUGUGGGGAACAGCUGGUAGAGUCUGGGGGAGGCUUGGUGAAGCCCGGGGGAUCCCUGAGACUCUCCUGUGCAGCCUCUGGAUUCACCUUCCAUGACUACGACAUGUAUUGGAUCCGCCAGGCUCCAGGAAAUGGACUGGAGUGGCUUGGGUGGAUUAGCCCUAGUGGUGGUAGCACAGACUACCCAGACUCAGUGAAGGGCCGAUUCACCAUCUCUAGAGACAAUGCAAAGAAUAUGCUGUAUCUACAAAUGAACUCACUGAAAACCGAGGACACGGCCAUGUACUACUGUGCAAGAGACACAGUGAGGGGACAUAAGUGUGAUCCCAGACAUAAACCUCCAAGCAAAGGCGCUCAGGACCAACAGGGGGCGCAAGUGGAGCAUGAGAACCAAGGGUUAAAGUUAAAGGAAAUCUACGUGUUCCGCUGGAUCCUACUCAAACAGGACCAAGACCAAGCGUGUGACUGGGACCCUCUGUGCAUGCAGGAUUCUACCUCACCCCCCACUCUAGGCCCGGUGUGA